GCAGAGUCCUGCACUAAUUGGAGAUCCUGGAUCCCACUGACUCUCCUAAUUAGAAGGAACAGAAAAUGAAAGUGUGAAGCACAGAGCUGCAGCAGCCAUCUUAGGACCAUGAGGGGAGCUGACCUAUGAUAUUGAAGGGGACAGGCCAGUACACUGAAGAUGAAAUGGCAAGAACUUAAGUCCUUGAUGACCCAACUUGACUGGACAUACCCCCGGCUCCCUGCUCUUCUCGGCCCCCUGCUCUUGGCUGUCCUCAUAAUGCAGUGCAUCCUCCGUGGCUGGCCCACGGGUCUACGACGGUG